rnacentral:rRNA from 1 species
GAUGAACGCUGGCGGCGUGCCUAAUACAUGCAAGUCGAGCGAACGGACGAGAAGCUUGCUUCUCUGAUGUUAGCGGCGGACGGGUGAGUAACACGUGGAUAACCUACCUAUAAGACUGGUAUAACUUCGGGAAACCGGAGCUAAUACCGGAUAAUAUUUUGAACCGCAUGGUUCAAAAGUGAAAGACGGUCUUGCUGUCACUUAUCGAUGGAUCUGCGCUGCAUUAGCUAGUUGGUAAGGUAACGGCUUACCAAGGCAACGAUGCAUAGCCGACCUGAGAGGGUGAUCGGCCACACUGGAACUGAGCCAGGGUCCAGACUCCUACGGGAGGCAGCAGUAGGGAAUCUUCCGCAAUGGGGGAAAGCCUGACGGAGCAACGCCGCGUGAGUGAUGAAGGUCUUCGGAUCGUAAAACUCUGUUAUUAGGGAAGAACAUAUGUGUAAGUAACUGUGCACAUCUUGACGGUACCUAAUCAGAAAGCCACGGCUAACUACGUG